rnacentral:rRNA from 1 species
UACGUAGGGGGCGAGCGUUGUCCGGAGUUACUGGGCGUAAAGGGCAUGCAGGCGGUCGGGCGCGUUUGGUGUGACAGCGCAUGGCUCAACUAUGCGAGCAUACGAAAGACGGCCUGACUUGAGGGCUCGAGAGGGACACGGAAUUCCGGGUGGAGUGGUGAAAUGCGUAGAGAUCCGGAGGAACACCGAAGGCGAAGGCAGUGUCCUGGCGAGUGACUGACGCUGAGGUGCGAAAGCCAGGGGAGCGAACGGG